UAAAGAGCUCGUAGGCGGUUUGUCGCGUCUGCUGUGAAAUCCCGAGGCUCAACCUCGGGCCUGCAGUGGGUACGGGCAGACUAGAGUGCGGUAGGGGAGAUUGGAAUUCCUGGUGUAGCGGUGGAAUGCGCAGAUAUCAGGAGGAACACCGAUGGCGAAGGCAGAUCUCUGGGCCGUAACUGACGCUGAGGAGCGAAAGGGUGGGGAGCAAACAGGCUUAGAUACCCUGGUAGUCCACCCCGUAAACGUUUGGAACUAGUUGUGGGGUCCAUUCCACGGAUUCCGUGACGCAGCUAACGCAUUAAGUUCCCCGCCUGGGGAGUACGGCCGCAAGGCUAAAACUCAAAGGAAUUGACGGGGACCCGCACAAGCGGCGGAGCAUGCGGAUUAAUUCGAUGCAACGCGAAGAACCUUACCAAGGCUUGACAUAUACGAGAACGGGCCAGAAAUGGUCAACUCUUUGGACACUCGUAAACAGGUGGUGCAUGGUUGUCGUCAGCUCGUGUCGUGAGAUGUUGGGUUAAGUCCCGCAACGAGCGCAACCCUCGUUCUAUGUUGCCAGCACGUAAUGGUGGGAACUCAUGGGAUACUGCCGGGGUCAACUCGGAGGAAGGUGGGGAUGACGUCAAAUCAUCAUGCCCCUUAUGUCUUGGGCUUCACGCAUGCUACAAUGGCCGGUACAAAGGGCUGCAAUACCGUGAGGUGGAGCGAAUCCCAAAAAGCCGGUCCCAGUUCGGAUUGAGGUCUGCAACUCGACCUCAUGAAGUCGGAGUCGCUAGUAAUCGCAGAU
rnacentral:rRNA from 1 species